rnacentral:rRNA from 1 species
GUUGACCUCGGAUCAGGUAGGGAUACCCGCUGAACUUAAGCAUAUCAAUAAGCGGAGGAAAAGAAACCAACAGGGAUUGCUCUAGUAACGGCGAGUGAAGCAGCAAUAGCUCAAAUUUGAAAUCUGGCGUCUUCGACGUCCGAGUUGUAAUUUGUAGAGGAUGCUUCUGAGUGGCCACCGACCUAAGUUCCUUGGAACAGGACGUCAUAGAGGGUGAGAAUCCCGU